rnacentral:rRNA from 1 species
AUUGAACGCUGGCGGCAGGCCUAACACCUGCAAGUCGAGCGGAGCGGCGGACGGGUGAGUAAUGACUAGGAAUCUGCCUGGUCGUGGGGGAAAACGUCCGGACCCGUGCGCUAAUACCACAUACUAUCAGUUUACCCUAGGUCGGAUUAGCUAGUUGGUGGGGUAAAGGCCUACCAAGGCGACGAUCCGUAACUGGUCUGAGAGGCUGAUCAGUCACACUGGAACUGAGACACGGUCCAGACUCCUACGGGAGGCAGCAGUGGGGAAUAUUGGACAAUGGGCGAAAGCCUGAUCCAGCCAUGCCGCGUGUGUGAAGAAGGUCUUCGGAUUGUAAAGCACUUUAAGUUGGGAGGCGUUACCAACAGAAUAAGCACCGGCUAACUUCGUGCCAGCAGCCGCGGUAAUUC